UACGUAGGGACCGAGCGUUGUCCGGAAUCAUUGGGCGUAAAGAGCGUGUAGGCGGCUUGCUAAGUCUUGCGUGAAAUCUCGGGGCUCAACCCCGAGCGGUCGUGGGAAACUGACAGGCUAGAGUGCGGGAGAGGAGAAUGGAAUUCCUGGGUGUAGCGGUGAAAUGCGCAGAUAUCAGGAGGAACACCGGUGGCGAAGGCGGGAUCUCUGGGGCCGAUACUGACGCUGAGGAGCGAAAGCGUGGGGGAGCGAACAGG
rnacentral:rRNA from 1 species